UGCAACUCGACUUCAUGAAGUUGGAAUCGCUAGUAAUCGCGAAUCAGCAUGUCGCGGUGAAUACGUUCUCGGGGUUUGUACACACCGCCCGUCAAACCACGAAAGUGGACAAUACCCGAAAGCGAUAGCCUAACUGCGCAAGCAGAGGGAAUCGUCUAAGGUAGGGUCGAUGAUUGGGGUUAAGUCGUAACAAGGUAUCCCUACCGGAAGGUGGGGAUGGAUCACCUCCUUUCUAAGGAAAUUUUUAAAAUCAUCAUCUUCAGUUUUGAAAGACUUAAAUUAAUUUAAAAAAAUAAGUUUUUCUUUUUCAUUAAUUAUUCUUAUAGUAUUUAAUUUUUUAAGGGCCUAUAGCUCAGUUGGUUAGAGCACACGCCUGAUAAGCGUGAGGUCGGUGGUUCAAGUCCAUUUAGGCCCACCAGUCUAAAUGAACUGAAAAUCAAAAAAAAGUUCUUUGAAAAGUAGAUAAACAACGUAAAUUCUCAAAAUAAUGAAGAAAAUAAGGGCGUACAGUGGAUGCCUUGGCACUAAGAGCCGAUGAAGGACGA
rnacentral:misc_RNA from 1 species